ACAGCAGUAGCCGCGGUAAUACAGAGGGUGCGAGCGUUAAUUGGAUUUACUGGGCGUAAAGCGUGCGUAGGCGGCUAAUUGAGUCGGAUGUGAAAUCCCCGAGCUUAACUUGGGAAUUGCAUUCGAUACUGGUUAGCUAGAGUGUGGGAGAGGAUGGUAGAAUUCCAGGUGUAGCGGUGAAAUGCGUAGAGAUCUGGAGGAAUACCGAUGGCGAAGGCAGCCAUCUGGCCUAACACUGACGCUGAGGUACGAAAGCAUGGGGAGCAAACAGGAUUAGAUACCCCCGUAGUCCCUGUCUCUUAUAC
rnacentral:rRNA from 1 species